rnacentral:rRNA from 1 species
GACGAACGCUGGCGGCGUGCUUAACACAUGCAAGUCGAACGGCAAGGCCCUGCUUUUGUGGGGUGCUCGAGUGGCGAACGGGUGCGUAACACGUGAGUAACCUGCCCUUGACUUUCGGAUAACUUCACGAAACUGGGGCUACUACCGGAUAGCAGCUCCUGCUCCAUGGAGGGCGUUGGAACGUUUCGGCGGUUGGGGAUGGAUUCGCGGCUUACCAGCUUGUUGGUGGGGUAGUGGAUUACCAAGGCUUUGACGGGUACCCGGCCUGGGAGGGUGAACGGGCACAUUGGGACUGAGAGACGGACCAGACGCGUACGGGAGGCAGCAGUGGGGAAUAUGGCACAAUGGGAGGAAGCCUGAUGCAGCAGCGUUGCGUGCGGGAUGACGUCCUUCGGGUUGAAAACCGCUUUCGCCUGUGACGAAGCGGGAGUGACGGUAAUGGGCAAAGAAGCACCGGCUAACUACGUG